rnacentral:lncRNA from 1 species
GUGCACCGUGUGCCACGGCCGCGGGCGCCAGCGACGCGCACAAGAGGUCGGGCCGGGCGCGCUCGGCCGGCGUUGGGUCGACACCCCACAGAGCGGCCACGUCCAAAAGGCGAUCGGCACCGACGAGACGUCCAUCGGUACCACGCUCGGCCGUCGGCGACGCGCACGUACGUCGCCAUAUGUCAAAGGCCAGCGGUUCGGCCAGUUCCAUUGGUAGACCUGUCGGGUCAAAGCGCGCCUCGGUGGCGCCGACGGCAGCCUCGUGCGCGAGGCGCAUGAGCGUCUCGACCUGGGUGACGGGGGCAAACGGGUCAGUCGGCGGACGCACGUCGGGCCGAUAAAGUUGAAUGGCGGUGGCGCCAGCGUCGGCACCGGCCAUUUGCGACAGCAAGAGCGCCAGCGAGCAGGCGUCGAUCCAGGCCGCCCAGGUCUUGGAACGCCCGCCGAGACGCAUGAUGCGACCGGGCGACCACGGACGCACGGCAUCGAGCACGGCCGGCGGCAGGUCGGCCCAUGAAGGCAAGAGGGCCAUGAUGGCGCGCACGGCCAGUACGGCAUCGCCGACCCCAACGUCAAUCUCGUCGUCGGGCAGGCCGGCGCCGUCGAGGAGCCACGGCACAAAGGCCGCAUAGGGACGCGCCGCCGGCGGCAGCGCAUCGAGGUCGCCGAUGAAAUCGCGAUCGGGCGCCAUCGAUCCGAGCACGCGCGCCUCGGCACCGCCAUUGGUCACGGCCACGAGAUGCACAGUGGCGCCCCGCGACCCGCGCUCGGCCAGCACCAGGUAGAGUGUGUCGUCGUCGGGAUCGCAGCGGGGGUCGACCGCGCGUGGCCAGUCGCCCAUGAUGGCGCGUAGGGUCAGACUGCCCUGGGCGUUCAUGGUCGUUCGUCGUGCAUAGGCCGCCAUGCGGCUCUCUGUCCGUCGUCGGUACAGGGCACCAAUAUUGCGCACGAGUCUGGCCAGGCCCUGGGAUCGGGUGGCCUCUUGGCCAAUGAUCUCCUGGGCGGCAAAGUGUGCCUCGGGCGUGCCGACGAGGCUCGUGUACACGCCGACAAUGUCCUCGAUGCCGGGCGGCCAUUGCGGGCCCAAAUUCGACGCCAGGGCAUACUUGAUGGCGGUCGACGCCCACGGGUCGGCGUCGAUGGCCUCCCACAUGCCUCUAUAGGCCUCGGCAAAGGCGCAGCCGUCCCAUCCCUCGCCGUCGCCCCAGUCAUCGAAAAAGGCCUGUUCGUCGAGGCGCGUGAGGAGCGGGUCCGAUGCAACUUCAUCGCCUUCGCCAUUCAUGUUCCAUGCGCGGCAGGCCGCGUCGAGGCGCGACGCAUACGAGGCGGCGCGACCGUCGGCAGGCGCGUCGGCCACAAGGCCUUCAGGAAGAGUGUCGGCGCCUAGCAGAGCCGGUGCAGUCGUCGCGGGUUCCUCCAUCGGCCUCCUUCCUUGUUGUUUUUAAUUUUCGUCGGCGUGUGUCCAAUAUAACGUGUGAGUUGUCUUUUGUUGUGCCGACGCCGUCUUUUCGGUCAAACAAAACAAAAUGGAAAAAAAACAAAGGGGAAAAAGGUUUUCUUUUUCCUCUGUGGCGCGUGCG